rnacentral:lncRNA from 1 species
UGCACCUGCGCAGGCUCCACCUGCCUCGACCUUUGGUGGGAGCACCUCCCUGCCCCCAACGCUCCCCAGCCACAUCCUGCCCAAAGGUGGGAGCCAGGGGCCACUCUAGCCGGACUGGUGAAGCUCCUCCUCCAAGGGCUCAUGGAACAGUCGGGAAACUGAGGCCAGGAGAGGCAGGGACUGGUCGGGGACCCACCAGGUGAGCAGAGCCUAGAGGGGCUGGAGGAGGUUUCGGGCUCCUAGGCCAGGUAUUCACUUUCCCAGGUGGUUUUCAAGGGAAUGAGAGCCUCUAAGAUCCUGGAGGACCACUGAACCCACCCCAUGUGGGGUCCUUUCCUCUGGGCAUCCCCGAGUGGGCACAGGUCCACGCAAUUGCAUGGAAACACAGUCCCCCGCCCCCCAGUAACUAACCACCCGCGUGGGGGUCAAAGGAUGAGUGGACCCUGGAGGUGACAGGGGUUGGGGGAGAGAAGAGGUGUGGGGCGGGGACAUUGUCUCCAGGGAACAUGCCCAUGAGGGCAGCCACGCCAGGCUAAUGGCCAGGGGAUCCCCAAAUGUCCCCGUGUGUAUCACAGGCACCCCCAUUCUACAGAAGCACCCCACUCAGCUCCCGUGGUUGGAGACCUUCGAAUGCGCAACGUGUUCUCAUGCUGUGUCCUGAUAUCUCGAGGCUGUGGUCUCAGGAAAGCCCACAGGGAGAGCCUUUUCCCACUUGCAGACGGUGGGUCCGGUCUCACCCCCAAAGCCUGUGGUCACGUGCCCACAGGGACGCAAAGGUGACAAGGUGAGGAAGCAGAGGUCCCCAGAGACAGCUGUGACGGGCUCCCGACUCUGGGAGAGAGUCCUCAGGCAGAGAGGAGGGACCGGGGGCUCCAGCGGGACGCAAUCAGCCUGCCGGGAACCAGCCCCUCCGGCUGCAGGUGCACUCAGGUGGCAGAGGGACCUGAACGGGACAGCGGUGCGUGGCCGGCCUCGCUUUCCCCAUCCAAGGCCAACGUCCUCUGCAGCCCUUGCCACACCGCCCCUCGUCUCAAAGCAAAGUGGUCUCUUCACUCAGGUUCCCUGGUGCCCGUUCAGGACAAGGAUGCCUCCCGGGAAGAAAGAGGAGAACCGACGGGGCUCACCCAGCCCGGGGGCCCUGGCAGACAAGCCAGCACUUGGCCUGUGGGCCACGGCCCUCUCCUGCCCCCACCGGCACCGUCUGCCCUCUGUCCCCUGACCCCACCUCCCAGGAGACGAAUCCAGCCAGAGGACCGCCUCGGGGCCGGCCUGGGAAGAGCUGGGUGGAAGGACAGGUGAGGGAAGACACAAGGGGUGUUCUCGACUCCCAAAUCUGACGACCGAA